CAUUUUUCAAGGUCAUUUGUCACCUUACCUUUUGUAAAAGGUCAAAUGCCUUUAUAAUGAACUUAGUUGAAGUUAUAAUCAAAUAACCUCAUAUCAAGACAUUUCAGGGGCACCAACUCCUAUAAGAUGCCAUUAAAUUGUAUAAGAGUAAAUGUAGCAUAUCUUCAUUACAAUAAAGCAGACAUUUUGCACUUGUUCUUUUAUAUGUAUCUUUCAAAGUGUCGAGAAAAUGCAAAAACAAGCAAAAGUCACAAUUGAGAACUUGACCUUGACCUUUGACCUUGACCUCAUUUUCUAAGUUAGGAACUAGGGGCCCC
rnacentral:lncRNA from 1 species